UUUUUUUUUAGGGGGGGUUCUAAAUAUAUUUCUCAUUUUCACUUUUGUUCAAGUUUUGUACAAGUUUUGUGCAACUUUUGUACAACUUUUGUUCCAUGCACAAAGUCAGUGCUGGAGUGCUACCAAAUGACAAAAGCUGCAUAUGCACAAAAUAUCUAUUUUAUUAAAAAAAGAUCAUGUUAAGAUAAUAGUGAUAGAAUUUCAUCUAUGUAUAAAAAAAUUUAAUGGUGUAGGUUGUUAUCAUGGGAGUAAUGUGGCAGGAAAUUUAGGGGGGCCAGAUAAAAAUCUAAUUUUGGCUUAAUUUUCAAAAAUUUAUAUUACAUUCCACCCCUUUUUCCAUUUUUUUCUCCCAUAUUUUUCUUGGCCAUGUACCCCCCUCCUCCCAAAUCGGUAUUCCAUUGGUUGUCAUUAACAAGAUAAAAUUUUUGAAACACAUGUAUACAUGUUGCUGGACCUGCAGAUUUUGCUAACAAUGUGCUAUCUCCUGGCCAAACAUUGCUAUUAGAUUGAAGAAUAAUUUUAAGGGGAAAGCUAUGUUCAUGUUCAUUGUACAUGGAAGAAGAGACCUGUAUGUUUGUUGCUUUGUGAAUGUUCAGCAGCAGACUGCCUGCUUUAUGGAUUUCAUCUUCCUGUAAUUACCAGUUGAAUUCAUGUAAAAUUACAUUGAUGGAAUACUGUGAUGCAUGUCAUUCAAAUACCAGGUACUUAUUGGCAUUCAUGUCCAGACAGAAGGGUCAUGAUAGGGGAAGGAACUGUGACCUGGUUGAUUGGUUUGUUUUUAAAAUGGCGUAGGGUUGUUUUGUUAGAAAAAAAGAUGAGACAUAAGAGUAGUGAAAAGUAGCGAACAAGUUUUCCUUCCACCAGUCGAGUAAUAAUCAAAUUAUCAAACAGAAUUUUGUGGUCCAAAGAGGAUUUAUAUUGAUAUGAACGUCAUUUACAUGUAGGGAAUGACUGCCCCCUUUAAAAUCAGAUGAUGUUUACAUUAUUUCACCAUGGGAGGAAAAUCCUGAUAAAACCGGUUGGAUGAGUGUUUCAAGGUCAAGUUCAGUUUAUUUCAGUCAUAAAACUGCCAAGAAGUAUCUUGAUUUUUUAUGCUUCUGUACAAAUUUAGUAUGAAAUAUAAAAAGGCAAGACAGAAGAUCUGUAUUUUUACAUACUACAAAUAACUUCCACUUAAUUCAAUUGUUUAUGAAAUAUUGACAAAAACAAUAACUUUAAAUCCUAAAUCCAAAUGCAAGUUGAGAAACAUCAAUCAUUUUCAAAGUGUUAUUUCAAAGUUAAAAAUCUCAUUUAUUAUUUAAUAUCUAUCAUCUGUUUACUCAAUUCAGUACAAAAAACAUUUAGAUUUUAGAAAAAGAGAAAAAUCCUGUAUACAUGUACAUGUACCAGUCAUUUUCACCCAUUCCAUUGUAGGAUUUUUCUCCUACGUUCUCAACCUAUUUUUGGCAAAGUGUUGUUGAAUUGCCCUAAUAUAAAGUCCUAGUAGUUUGUUUUUAUUAUACCACCAUUAUACAUGAUGUUGAUCGUCUCUCUGAACUCUGCGUUUCCUUCCAUAUACAUGUACUAUGUAUGCUUAUACUACCUCCGCGUUCAUACAAACCAAAAAUCUACACAAGUGUAAAUCGGUAACAGGAACCUCCAUUGACGUAGAAAUGCUAUCACAAGUCAGCGGCAAAAAGUCAUUGUCAUCGGGUUUGGUUAUGAAUAGGAAAUGAGGUAAAGGAAGUAGGAUGGACCCUAUCAGCUGACUCUUGGAAAGCAUGUUAAGUAUAAUAUGUAGGGCACUCAUCUUCUAAUUCGAUAAGGUUAAGAUUAUACAUAGUUAUUUUGCCUUUGUUUGCUGUAGGUGGUUGCCAGGGAUAUCAUUAUUUUCAGAUCGUCUGUCUGACUCUUAAGAAGUCAGAUUUGAACUCCAAAAGAGACGGCUAUGGAAUUUCAUGUAGAUUUUAAUUUUGCUCAGGUUUUAAAAGCGUUUUUAAUAAGGAAUGCCACCAAUUAAAGAAAAGAUGAAAGUGGUAGUCACUGAUUUCAAUAGCGAUAAUUUUCAGAGAAAGGCUUAGAACCGUCAUAGAUUUCUAAAUCCAGUUAGUUCUGCAUGUAACAUGGCUUUUGAAAAUUGAUAGCUAUGAAGUAAUGAAUUAUGCAUGUAGGUUGAAACAGAGUAUGCAGUUAAGCUUGCCAACACAGAAUACCCUUGUUAGCAUAAUGAUGCUUUGAAAGCAAAUUUACUCAGCAGAAUGCCAUGCUUAUUUUGCUAAUUGUUAAUAGAUUACAAAUUUUAUACAAGAGUCAUUUGAUGGAUUAAUUAUACGAUUCAUUUCUAUCUCAUUUUGUGAUCCAACCAUGUUGGCUGCCUGAUAUUGUAUGAUGAUUUUCAAGGUCAACUUUUGUCAGGGCAUUUUUGUCCUAUGUCAGGAAAUUAUGUUUAGUAAUCUCCUACACUCUGGAGUUAUGAUUUAUCAAGUUGAAUUCAAUUUUUAUGAAGAAAACACUUUUUUUCUGCAAGAGUCCCUCUGUAUUUUAACAGUGGCCAAAUAAUGGUAUGCCAAUUUCCGCUUAUUUUUAACUCCUUAAAAAAGAAUGAUUUGACUUCAUUUUUGGAGGGGAGCGGCAUGGCUGUGUUUCUGCGGAUACUGAAGGCCUAAUUCUAUUAAACGUUGAAAUAUUUCAAAUAAUGGACACCAUUGCUUUACUUCAUUUAAUGAUCUCAAUGGCACUAUAUAGCACUAGUUAACUACAGUCUGUGAUCAGGUCGGUAUAAACAUUUCAGAAGUUUAUAAAUAAACCCUUAGAAAACAGGUUAUUCCUGUCUAAAAAAUGUUUUUCUAAAAUGCAUUAAAACGUAAAAUUAUCUGUAACUGCAAAUGCACACACACAAUAUGCUGUGGGAGGGGAAACCCCCUCUCUACCCCAUUGACAUCCCCAGAUUGUUCGGUCGCGCCGCUCCCAAGCAGCAAUUUUCCUAUUUUUUUUUAUAUUUGUCUGUCUCGUGCCUGCAAUAAUUCUUGCAUGCUGACAUAUAAUGUUUCAUAAUUGUAUGUCUCAAUUACCUUGUGACAGUUUCUUCUAGAAUAUACACUUAUGACCAGGGGCAAAUCAGAUAUGCGUAAUUAUGACUUGCGCUUGAUUUCGUUUAGUUACAUUUGCACUGGACUCUUCUUGCAAUGGGAGCCAGAAUGUUGUUGGAAUCAACGUAGUGUACUACAAGUGGGAUAAAUGACACAUUGAAUGUUCACAAGUAGACAUGGAAUGUUGGGGUAGGAAGAGGAGGAGCUGCCUUUUCUGAUAAGGCUUCAUAAACAGUUUUUCUUGACAGGAGUUUUAGAUUCCAGUUGAGCGCCCUCUACUGGUUACAAGCAGAUAUCCUCUCUUUCUCGCCGGGCAACGGAGAGGAAGGAGGUAUGAUGAUGGCUAACAAAAUGAACGAAAGUCUUGUAUUAGCCCUGCAUCCCUAACAUCAUGGCAUGCCUUUAUUUAGCCACACAUUGACGUAAUAACUUUAUUUUUAAUAUUUUGUUCUUUUUAAUACAUUGUCGGAAUCUCAGUUCCUUCCUGCUGCUAAUGUGAUCAUGUGCAUGGGUUCUGCUCCAUGAAUAUCCUGUCUCUUGAUCCAUAAUGCUUCCAACUAGCAUGUAGAAUUAGAGAGGAAAGUCUGAUUUGCAUUUCAGUCCCAUCUAAUGACAUUGAUGUAUGUGCACAAGUACACCAGCACCAGUUGAUAUUCAACAGUGGGACUUGGUGACUAAUUAAGUGGCAUGAAGCAUUUGCAGCCAUCCAUUUCAAUGGCAGGUUUUAACUGAUAGUGAAUGAGAGAGGUGGUGUAAAGUGAAUCUGAGAGGUGGUGUAAAGUGAAUCCGAUUAAUAAAAUUCAAGGUUUUCGUAUUCUAUAAAGGCAAGGUCAUUUAUGUUGAAAUGAAAUAUCACUGCAACAGCACAUAUAUCUGCAAUUGAUUUUUUUAUCAAUGAAAUUUACCAUAUACUAGAAAUUAAGAUUCAACCCCCACCCAAUUUGAUUAAUUAGUUUGAAAUAACCUUGAUAUUAUUUUUGUUGUUCAUCAAACUGAAGGUAUAAAAUCCAAAUGAUCAAUUAUAAUUAUCGAAGUGAAUAUUUGGAUGAUAUAAACUCAUGAUAGUAUACAUGGGGGCAAUUCCAUGAAAUAAUCAACCUUUUUGUAUGUCCGACCCCCAUUUGUCUCAAGUCUUACUUUGCUUCAUAAACUGACUGAGUCAUGGUCAUUUGAGAACAUUACAGACUGCCAAAAGAACAAGUAAUCAGAGACACAAAAUUUACCAGAGGUCGGAUGUGAUUGCCCAUAGGUAUAUCUAAGUGCAUGGUUGAAGGGGAGCUAGAAAUACAUUUUUUUCAAAACAUAUUAUUGAUCUUAAACAACAGUGUAAGAUCUUGGUCUAACCUUCAUUGAUCAUAAUUUGGAUUAUCAUUUUUUUCACAAAACUGGGGAAAAAAAUCAUGUCUCUCCCCAAAAGAAAAAGCUUCGAGCCCUGGAAAUCUUGAAUGGCUAUAUGUUUCUAGUGGGGAAGACAAAUAAAGAAUGCUUAACAUUUCUCUUUCAAUGCAUGGCUGCUGUGUAAUCAUUAUGUUUUGGUUUUAAUUGAUUGCACCUUUUAAUUGUAUGCAGAAUGAUAAACCGAGUUUUCAGUUGAAGUUAUAUAACUUUUCAUCUAUUAUUUAGAUUCUCUAUCCUGAUCCUAGUUGUGUUUAACUCCUUUUCUAUAAAGUUAGUUGAAACAUAAUGAUUAUAUGAAAGGGAUAACAUAAUCACUGUUUGCACUGUACUCAUUACUUAUACAGUGCAUAUCAAAAAAAGUUUACUCUUUGAAAAUAUCCUGUAAAAUUAUACAUUUGUAAUAUCCUG